CCUACGGGUGGCAGCAGUGGGGAAUAUUGGGCAAUGGGCGCAAGCCUGACCCAGCAACGCCGCGUGAAGGAAGAAGGCUUUCGGGUUGUAAACUUCUUUUUUCAGGGACGAAACAAGUGACGGUACCUGAGGAAUAAGCCUCGGCUAACUACGUGCCAGCAGCCGCGGUAAUACGUCGGUGGCAAGCGUUAUCCGGAUUUACUGGGUGUAAAGGGCGUGUGGGCGGGGAUGGAAGUCAGAUGUGAAAAUGACGGGCUCAACCCAUAGCCUGCAGUUGAAACUGUGGUUCUUGAGUGCGGGAGAGGCAGGCGGAAUUCCGAGUGUAGCGGUGAAAUGCGUAGAUAUUAGGAGGAACACCAGUGGCGAAGGCGGUCUGCUGGACAUCAACUGACGCUGAGGCGCGAAAGCGUGGGGAGCAAACAGGAUUAGAUACCCGGGUAGUC
rnacentral:rRNA from 1 species